GCCUGACGGAGCAAUACCGCGUGAGGGAGGAAGGCUCUUGGGUCGUAAACCUCUUUUCUCAGGGAAGAAAAAAAUGACGGUACCUGAGGAAUAAGCAUCGGCUAACUCUGUGCCAGCAGCCGCGGUAAUACAGAGGAUGCAAGCGUUAUCCGGAAUGAUUGGGCGUAAAGCGUCCGUAGGUGGUUAUGUAAGUCUGUGGUUAAAGCGUGGGGCUCAACCCCAUACCGGCCAUGGAAACUACAGGACUAGAGUUAAGUAGGGGUAGAGGGAAUUCCCAGUGUAGCGGUGAAAUGCGUAGAGAUUGGGAAGAACACCGGUGGCGAAAGCGCUCUACUGGACUUAUACUGACACUGAGGGACGAAAGCUAGGGGAGCGAAAGGGAUUAGAUACCCCUGUAGUCCUAGCCGUAAACGAUGGAUACUAGGUGUUGCCCGUAUCGACCCGGGCAGUGCCGUAGCUAACGCGUUAAGUAUCCCGCCUGGGGAGUACGCACGCAAGUGUGAAACUCAAAGGAAUUGACGGGGGCCCGCACAAGCGGUGGAGUAUGUGGUUUAAUUCGAUGCAACGCGAAGAACCUUACCAGGGCUUGACAUGUCUGGAAUCUCUGCGAAAGUAGAGAGUGCCUUAGGGAGCCAGA
rnacentral:rRNA from 1 species